UCUUCCUCGCCAUCGCCUUUUCUUCUGCUCAUUUAUGUGCUCUUGAUUGAUUUCCCCUUUCUUAGUUUUUCGUUUGAGUGUAUGCCUGCUUCUUUUCAUUUCUAACCAUUUUUUAACGCAGAUUCUUAUUUACUGUGAUAAUUAGUACUUUCAGGUGUGAAGUGUUUACAGUCUGUCCUAUAAAGUGUUUAAAAGUAAACAGUUUUCUGUGUCUGGAUAAUCUGUAAAGUGCUUACAGCCUGUAAUGAGGUAUUCAAAGUAAAUAGAGCUUGGAGUGGGAAAUCCCAUCUAAGCUUCAUUUAAGAUGAGUCAUUGGGUUUAACCCAUCUUGAUAAAGCCUGGGCCGAUUUUUAGGCUAGAUCAAGCAUUAAGUGUGCCACAAAACUGGGCCCACUGAUUCAAAUGUCCUCAAUGUUUGACUCUUUAAGGCAAAAAAAUCACCCAGUCAGAUGGGUCACACCACAUGGAACAAUGAUGAUGGGAUGCCAAACAUAGGUUUGUGUGGGGCCACCAUGAUGUCCGUAUGACAUCAAUUCUGUCUAUUAGUUUCUCCAGCUCAUGUUAGGAUGUGAGCCUGAAAUUGAGGCAGAUCCAAAAAUUGAGUGGGCCACACCACAAGAAAAAUUGGGAAUAGGAAAGUCUACCAUCAAAAUUUUCGUGGGGCUCAUCAUGAUGAUUAUAUGCCAUCUAGCCCAUUAUUGGUGGUUCCUGCAAGGAUGAAGGGAAAACACAUCACCCAUUAUUAUGAGCUGGAGAAAGUGAUGGACAGCGUGGAUGUCGCAUGGACACCACAGCGGGCGCCAUCGAACUUUGGGUUACAUUGGCUCCGAAUAACAAGGGCUAACAAAUCUUGCAUCCAGUGUCUUCUUCUUUACGUGUUCCUUUCCCUUUCUCUCCCAUUUUAGCCCCUCCAAACUCAUUUGUACAUCUCUCUCUCUCAUAUAUUUGAAGCAGGUGAGAUCUUCCACUUGAAAUGGGGAAAAAAAAGAAGAAGAAAAAACAUACCUGCAAGUGGUGUGUAUGUUGGUUGCGAGAGCCACAAUAAAAAAUAAAUAAAUGACUAUUGGUCUGUAAUCAGAUUACCUGUAAUACGAAACGCAACAAUUUUCCAAGAUUCCAAAAGCUCUCCUUUCACUUAAUAGACAAAGUUAGGCAUCUAAACAGCCUUGUAGUGUCUUUACUACAAACCUUUUAUAACUAAAGGAUUGUACAAACCCCUUAUGUUACUACUGUUUUCUAUGUACCGAUUUAAGUGGCUGACCGUUGUUUCGUUUGCCACAUUGUGUUAAAUGGUGAUGACUUCCCAGCUCAUGUUGUACACUUAUGUAGAUAUGGACUAUUCAUGUGCAAGAUGACCCUGCGCAGGUACCUACUAGGUUUACGUUCUCUAACAUGGGGGAAAUGACUUAUGUGCAUGAAAUCCAUUCCAUCUAUCAGGUACACCACCUUUUGUUUGGCCUUGAUAUUAAAGAUUAGGCACUCAGGUGAGUCACCUUAAAAUGAUACAUGGAUCCUCUAACAUCGUGUGGCCCACCUAAGUUUUGGAAUACUGUAAUUCCGGGUAAUUUUUUCAUCCAAAUGAGUCACAUCAGAUGAAUGGAUUGGAUGGCAUGCAUCACCACUGUUGGUCCUUUAUGAAACUAAUGGUGGGUGUUCCAACACAACUAUUUCCUAUGGUGUGGCGUACUUGAGUUUUGGGUUCCAUGCUUAAUGCUGGCAGCAUAGCUGAUGGACGGUGGAUCUUCAUUAAAGUUCCAGCCACUGUGAGGUAUGCUAGUGCGGUUGCCGUAUUGUGGAUGGAACAUGCACCAAGAGUCGCACUGAUCAUAUGAUCCUAAAAUAUCCACUUUGUUGCCAUUGGAUGAAUUGGUAAAGACCUUCAGUAGUAAUUCAACAGGUGAAAUAAGAUGGUUAUGGUAUUGUCAUCAGUGUCCUUCUUUAAUUGUGCUUGGUCCCAGAUUUGUACUGCCCACACUGGCAUGCAUGGAACUUGGGCCAUUGCUUAGUUACCAUCAGUAAAUAUUAUAUAUGGUAAUGCAUGCACACAAAUAUUUCAAACUAUCAAUGAGUUGGUGCACUUUACAAGACACAAGGUCAUGCACAAUUGGAUCAUUAUUGACCAAGAUGUUCAUGUAGAGCCCUUUGCUUUUAUUAUUAUUAUUAUUUAAUUCUUUACAAAUAAUGAAGUAACUGACUGCAGACUAAGGGUGUGUUUAUUUGUACUAAAUUUAAUGAAAUAUCAUGAAAAUUUGCACCAAAUUACACUAAUUAAUCAUGAAAUGUCAUGAUAUUGGGUUAAAUCAAACGCAUCCUAAACCAAAAGAUGAUGGAUGACAAGCUAAGACAAAGAUAGAAGUUCGGAGAAUGAGUUCUGUAUUCUUACUCAAAGUAUGCAGAAGCAGCAACCCUGCUGCAUGGGUUAAAGUGGGUGUCUCUCUUUUCCCGUAGCCAGCUGAUCUUAGAAGGUGAUUCUAGUGUAGUUAUUAAGUGGCUUGAGAGCGGUUGUCAUAAUUCAAAGUGCUUCCCCAAGCGCAUACUGUGCAACACUCAUUUCAUAGUCCCACUCAUGAAUGAGUCAUCCUUCCCCAGGUGUAUGCUUGCUAUAAGCACCAAAGCUCACUAGAAUGUAAGAGAGGCACAAUGAGUGUAUGGCAGAGCAUUGCAUAUUUCAUUAAAGCUCUCAAAACUAUAACUUAUCUUAGAUGCUCUCCAAAUGAGGACCCCUCAUAUGGAGCUAGGAAGAAUGUAGAACCUACACAUGUAUGGCUAGGAUUAUACCACAUGGCACUCAUCCAACAGCCAAGAACACUCUAGAACUUUCCUAGAACAUUCCACUCUUCUCUCCAAGACUCUACUAGAGUUCUUUAGAAACUUCUAAAGAUCUCUGCACAAUUCUACACCAUUCUACACAACUCUAGACCUCUCCACACAAUUGUAGAACUUUUUAUAAACCCUCCUACCAUUCUCUACAAUUUUCACACACUCCUAAAAUUCUCCAUAGUACAAACCUCUCCAAUGUGCAAGAUGAGAAUAUAUUUGGCGGCCAAGUCCACGAGUUAGGUCCAUGGGAAUGAUUGGUCUGUGACAAGGUUCUGGCCAUGCGAAAUUGCGAAAUUAAUGGAAGAGGCAGUGGACAGCUGUUUGUCAUGUUAAGUUGUUUGUAGGUACAGUGGGAAGACCAAGUCUCUAGGUUUUGGAAAGGGGUUAAUGGGGACUUUGGUAGGAGGUGAUGCUACUGCUGUUGUAUUAGCAUUGCAUUUUUUUGGUGCCUUGUUUAGGCACUGGUUGUAUCUUGUUUUGCUGUUUUCCCUUUUUAUUUUCUAACAAGGUAUCCAUCCAUUCAUCUGAUUCAAAGGUAAAAAAAGUAUCCAUUAAGUAAAAAAUAAAAAAUAAAAAAA